CACUAUGCUUCGCCCUAAACAUUGAUAGCUUUAUACAACCACUAUCCGCCUGGAAACUACGAGCAACAGCUUAAAACCCAAAGGACUUGGCGGUGCUUUAGACCCACCUAGAGGAGCCUGUUCUAUAACCGAUAAUCCCCGUUUAACCUCACCCUUCCUAGUCAUCCCCGCCUAUAUACCGCCGUCGCCAGCUUACCCCAUGAGGGUCCCCUAGUAAGCACAAUUGGUAGAUCCCAAAACGUCAGGUCGAGGUGUAGCGUAUGGAAGGGGAAGAAAUGGGCUACAUUCCCUAUUACAGCGAAUCACGGAUAAUAAAACUGAAACGUAUAUCUAGAAGGAGGAUUUAGCAGUAAGCAGGAAGCAGAGUGUCCCGCUGAAACCGGCCCUGAAGCGCGCACACACCGCCCGUCACUCUCUCCAAGCACAUCAUUUAUAAUUUAACUUAAAACCUUUACACCAGCAAAGGGGAGGCAAGUCGUAA
rnacentral:rRNA from 1 species